GGCGCCGUAGCCAAGUGGCUAAGGCAGCGGUUUGCAAAACCGCCAUUCGUGGGUUCGAAUCCCACCGGCGCCU
rnacentral:tRNA from 1 species